AGCUGGUACGUGGCACCCCGGGAGGGAGUCUGGGAGUUCAAGAGGCUCUAUCCUGAGGCCACUGUCCCAUUUAACCUCAUGUUCUCGUAGCACAAGGUUGUGAGCUCCAUCCUGGCAUUCCGGGAGAAGGAAUGGCAGAGGCUGCAGUCAAACCCCCACCUGAAAGAGGGGUCCGUGACCUCCGUGAACCUGACUAAGCUAGAGGGUGGCGUGGCCUAUAACGUGAUACCUGCCACCAUGAGCGCCAGCUUUGACUUCCGUGUGGCACCGGAUAUGGACUUCAAGGCUUUUGAGGAGCAGCUGCAGAGCUGGUGCCAGGCAGCUGGCGAGGGGGUCACCUUAGAGUUUGCUCAGAAGUGGAUGCACCCCCAAGUGACACCUACUGAUGACUCAAACCCCUGGUGGGCAGCUUUUAGCCGGGUCUGCAAGGACAUGAAGCUUACUCUGGAGCCUGAGAUCAUGCCUGCUGCCACUGACAACCGCUAUAUCCGCGCGGUGGGGAUCCCAGCUCUAGGCUUCUCACCCAUGAACCGCACACCUGUGCUGCUGCACGACCACGAUGAACGGCUGCAUGAGGCUGUGUUCCUCCGUGGGGUGGACAUAUAUACACGCCUGCUGCCUGCCCUUGCCAGUGUGCCUGCCCUGCCCAGUGAGAGCUGAGCCCCGGAACUCCUCAACCUUUGCCCCUGGGGCUUCCAUCCCAACCAGUGCCAAGGACCUCCUCUUCCCCCUUCCAAAUAAUAAA
rnacentral:sRNA from 1 species